AGUGAACGCUGGCGGUAGGCCUAACACAUGCAAGUCGAACGGCAGCACAGUAAGAGCUUGCUCUUACGGGUGGCGAGUGGCGGACGGGUGAGGAAUACAUCGGAAUCUACUUUUUCGUGGGGGAUAACGUAGGGAAACUUACGCUAAUACCGCAUACGACCUACGGGUGAAAGCAGGGGAUCUUCGGACCUUGCGCGAUUGAAUGAGCCGAUGUCGGAUUAGCUAGUUGGCGGGGUAAAGGCCCCAAGGCGACGAUCCGUAGCUGGUCUGAGAGGAUGAUCAGCCACACUGGAACUGAGACACGGUCCAGACUCCUACGGGAGGCAGCAGUGGGGAAUAUUGGACAAUGGGCGCAAGCCUGAUCCAGCCAUACCGCGUGGGUGAAGAAGGCCUUCGGGUUGUAAAGCCCUUUUGUUGGGGAAGAAAAGCAGCAGGUUAAUACCCCGCUGUUCUGACGGUACCCAAAGAAUAAGCACCGGCUAACUUCGUG
rnacentral:rRNA from 1 species